AUUGAACGCUGGCGGCAGGCUUAACACAUGCAAGUCGAGCGGGGGGAGGUAGCUUGCUACCUAACCUAGCGGCGGACGGGUGAGUAAUGCUUAGGAAUCUGCCUAUUAGUGGGGGACAACAUUUCGAAAGGGAUGCUAAUACCGCAUACGCCCUAAGGGGGAAAGCAGGGGAUCCUCGGACCUUGCGCUAAUAGAUGAGCCUAAGUCGGAUUAGCUAGUUGGUGGGGUAAAGGCCUACCAAGGCGACGAUCUGUAGCGGGUCUGAGAGGAUGAGCCGCCACACUGGGACUGAGACACGGCCCAGACUCCUACGGGAGGCAGCAGUGGGGAAUAUUGGACAAUGGGGGGAACCCUGAUCCAGCCAUGCCGCGUGUGUGAAGAAGGCCUUUUGGUUGUAAAGCACUUUAAGCGAGGAGGAGGCUACUGGUAUUAAUACUACUGGAUAGUGGACGUUACUCGCAGAAUAAGCACCGGCUAACUCUGUGCCAGCCGCCGCAGUAACAC
rnacentral:rRNA from 1 species